rnacentral:rRNA from 1 species
UGCCAGCAGCCGCGGUAAUACGGAGGGUGCGAGCGUUAAUCGGAAUUACUGGGCGUAAAGCGUACGUAGGUGGUUUGGUAAGUCGGAUGUGAAAUCCCCGGGCUCAACCUGGGAAUUGCAUUCGAAACUGCCUCACUAGAGUCUAGCAGAGGGAUGGGGAAUUCCGGGUGUAGCGGUGAAAUGCGUAGAGAUCCGGAGGAACAUCAGUGGCGAAGGCGCCAUCCUGGGCUAAGACUGACGCUGAGGUACGAAAGCGUGGGGAGCAAACAGGAUUAGAUA